GUCUUCGAUCUUUAGCUGGUUUUAGAGGAUGAUCAGCAACACUGGGAUUGAGACACGGCCCAGACUCCUACGGGAGGCAGCAGUGGGGAAUUUUAGACAAUGGGCGCAAGCUUGAUCUAGCCAUGCCGCGUGAGUGAAGAAGGCCUUAGGGUCGUAAAACUCUUUCGCCAGAGAUGAUAAUGACAGUAUCUGGUAAAGAAACCCCGGCUAACUCCGUGCCAGCAGCCGCGGUAAUACGGAGGGGGUUAGCGUUGUUCGGAAUUACUGGGCGUAAAGCGCACGUAGGCGGACUGGAAAGUUGGGGGUGAAAUCCCGGGGCUCAACCUCGGAACUGCCUCCAAAACUAUCAGUCUAGAGUUCGAGAGAGGUGAGUGGAAUUCCAAGUGUAGAGGUGAAAUUCGUAGAUAUUUGGAGGAACACCAGUGGCGAAGGCGGCUCACUGGCUCGAUACUGACGCUGAGGUGCGAAAGUGUGGGGAGCAAACAGGAUUAGAUACCCUGGUAGUCCACACCGUAAACGAUGAAUGCCAGUCGUCGGCAAGUAUACUUGUCGGUGACACACCUAACGGAUUAAGCAUUCCGCCUGGGGAGUACGGUCGCAAGAUUAAAACUCAAAGGAAUUGACGGGGGCCCGCACAAGCGGUGGAGCAUGUGGUUUAAUUCGAAGC
rnacentral:rRNA from 1 species